GAUGAACGCUGGCGGCGUGCUUAACACAUGCAAGUCGAACGAUGAAGCUCAGCUUGCUGGGUGGAUUAGUGGCGAACGGGUGAGUAACACGUGAGUAACCUGCCCUUAACUCUGGGAUAAGCCUGGGAAACUAGGUCUAAUACCGGAUAGGAGCGCCUACCGCAUGGUGGGUGUUGGAAAGAUUUAUCGGUUUUGGAUGGACUCGCGGCCUAUCAGCUUGUUGGUGAGGUAAUGGCUCACCAAGGCGACGACGGGUAGCCGGCCUGAGAGGGUGACCGGCCACACUGGGACUGAGACACGGCCCAGACUCCUACGGGAGGCAGCAGUGGGGAAUAUUACACAAUGGGCGAAAGCCUGAUGCAGCGACGCCGCGUGAGGGAUGACGGCCUUCGGGUUGUAAACCUCUUUCAGUAGGGAAGAAGCGAAAGUGACGGUACCUGCAGAAGAAGCACCGGCUAACUACGUGCCAGCAGCCGCGGUAAUACGUAGGGUGCGAGCGUUAUCCGGAAUUAUUGGGCGUAAAGAGCUCGUAGGCGGUUUGUCGCGUCUGUCGUGAAAGUCCGGGGCUUAACCCCCGGAUCUGCGGUGGGUACGGGCAGACUAGAGUGCAGUAGGGGAGACUGGAAUUCCUGGUGUAGCGGUGGAAUGCGCAGAUAUCAGGAGGAACACCGAUGGCGAAGGCAGGUCUCUGGGCUGUAACUGACGCUGAGGAGCGAAAGCAUGGGGAGCGAACAGGAUUAGAUACCCUGGUAGUCCAUGCCGUAAACGUUGGGCACUAGGUGUGGGGACCAUUCCACGGUUUCCGCGCCGCAGCUAACGCAUUAAGUGCCCCGCCUGGGGAGUACGGCCGCAAGGCUAAAACUCAAAGGAAUUGACGGGGGCCCGCACAAGCGGCGGAGCAUGCGGAUUAAUUCGAUGCAACGCGAAGAACCUUACCAAGGCUUGACAUGUUCUCGAUCGCCGUAGAGAUACGGUUUCCCCUUUGGGGCGGGUUCACAGGUGGUGCAUGGUUGUCGUCAGCUCGUGUCGUGAGAUGUUGGGUUAAGUCCCGCAACGAGCGCAACCCUCGUUCCAUGUUGCCAGCACGUAAUGGUGGGGACUCAUGGGAGACUGCCGGGGUCAACUCGGAGGAAGGUGAGGACGACGUCAAAUCAUCAUGCCCCUUAUGUCUUAGGCUUCACGCAUGCUACAAUGGCCGGUACAAUGGGUUGCGAUACUGUGAGGUGGAGCUAAUCCCAAAAAGCCGGUCUCAGUUCGGAUUGGGGUCUGCAACUCGACCCCAUGAAGUCGGAGUCGCUAGUAAUCGCAGAUCAGCAACGCUGCGGUGAAUAUGUUCCCGGGCCU
rnacentral:rRNA from 1 species